rnacentral:rRNA from 1 species
UAGGUGGCAAGCGUUGUCCGGAUUUACUGGGUGUAAAGGGCGUGCAGCCGGAGAGGCAAGUCAGAUGUGAAAUCCGCAGGCUCAACCUGCGAACUGCAUUUGAAACUGCUUCCCUUGAGUAUCGGGGAGGUCAUCGGAAUUCCUAGUGUAGCGGUGAAAUGCGUAGAUAUUAGGAAGAACACCAGUGGCGAAGGCGGAUGACUGGACGACAACUGACGGUGAGGCGCGAAAGCGUGGGGAGCAAA